GGCAGGAUGUUGAUGGGAGAACUUGCCCCAGGCCUUGAAGCACGUUGUAUUCCCAAAACUAUGCCCCGAGGGAGUGCGGAGAGCAGCAAGGAGGGGACUCGAGCGUGGGAAAAGGGCAGAGGCCAUCCCAGACUGAAGACAGAAGGCGGUGUGUUAUGGUUCGUCUGUCUGUAGGUGUCACAGGCAAGACAUCGCAGAGCAGGAAAGAUACAGGGGACGGGAAGGCAAGAAGAAUCAGAUGGAGAAGACGGAUUAGAAGGUUUAUCCUGGACCUACCCGGACAGGCAGAGAUUCCCCCAGGGCUGCUGGCUAGUCCGUGUCCACAGGUCAAAAGUGGAUGGAGAACUGGAUGGCUGCCUACCCGAUGUUUGAUUCAACAACUCAUUCAAAAGCAGGAAACCACUGGCCAAGGCUGCAAAAGCGAAUAGCACCUUAUUGAUCGAAGCGCGGGGCAAGAGACUGGAACCAGGCAAGGGCUUUACAAGGAAACUCAUUUUGGCAGUCGUAUUUGUUUAGGCUAAAAGAACGCCUCUGCGGAGUUAAGGCAAGCAGCCCUCUUUGCUCUGAGAAUUAUGUCACCUCUUCUGUCCCAUUUCAGCCCAUGGAGCUCUUUGACAGACAGCAUGAACAAAUCUGCAUAAGGAAAACCAGGAAACUGACACGCAAUUACACAGUUGCUGAUGGUAUCGCCGGCGCCGAUAAUUAAACCCGCCACCCGAGGACUGCGAUCGCUAGUCUACAGCUGGGAUGUCGUCAGGAGGCAGCAGCUCCUGCAGCUUUUAACGCUGGCUCCAUACAGGUGAACCUCUGGUCCGGGCGCUGGAGAACCGGCCGGCCUCCACACAUCAUUUGCAACAUCGCGCACAAAUGAAGAAAAUCUCUUAGCAAUCCAAUAAGUGGAAUACAAACGCGAUGACCCAAGGGUUAAACUGUCUGCUUGGACUCAGGAGUUGGAUCUAUUAGAUAUUGUUCUUUCUCCCCCUCUUCGCUGCUGUAUUUACCGAAAAGAUCACCAAACGGUCUCCUACCUCUGAGAACAGCCUCCAGUUUUCACCUGUGAGGUUGCAGCAGAUGCAAAGACCAUAUAGCUAGGCUUGAAUCUGUGGCUGGAUCUGAAUAAGGAAAUAGGGGAGACUCUGGGAGGAGGGGGAAGGGAGCUUCCCAGGUGGCUCAAUAGUAGAGAAUCCGCCUGCCAAUGCAGGAGACGUUGGUUCGAUCUCUGUGUCAGGAAGAUCCCCUGGACAAGGA